GCACAAGCGGUGGAUGAUGUGGUUUAAUUCGAUGCAACGCGAAAACCUUACCACCUUUGACAUGUACGGAAUCCUUUAGAGAUAGAGGAGUGCUCGAAAGAGAGCCGUAACACAGGUGCUGCAUGGCUGUCGUCAGCUCGUGUCGUGAGAUGUUGGGUUAAGUCCCGCAACGAGCGCAACCCUUAUUCUUAGUUGUUUUCCCUUUGGGAUUACCCUCUAAGAAGACUGCCUCGGAUAACGGGGAGGAAGGUGGGGAUGACGUCAAGUCCGCAUGCUCCUUACGUCUAGGGCUACACACGUCCUACAAUGGGGUCGACAAUGGGAUGCAAUAUCGCAAGAUGGAGCCAAUCCCCAAACGGCCUCUCAGUUCGGAUUGUAGUCUGCAACUCGACUACAUGAAGUUGGAAUCGCUAGUAAUGGCAGAUCAGCAUGCUGCCGUGAAUACGUUCCCGGGUCUU
rnacentral:rRNA from 1 species